rnacentral:misc_RNA from 1 species
GAUGAAGAACGUAGCGAAAUGCGAUAAGUAAUGUGAAUUGCAGAAUUCAGUGAAUCAUCGAAUCUUUGAACGCACCUUGCGCCCUUUGGCCAUUCCGAAGGGCAUGCCUGUUUGAGUAUCAUGAACACCUCAACUCUUCAUGGUUUUCCAUGAUGAGCUUGGACUUUGGGGGUCUCGCUGGCCUGUGGGUCGGCUCCUCUCAAAUGAAUCAGCUUGCCGGUUUUUGGUGGGCAUCACAGGUGUGAUAACUAUCUACGCUUGUGGUUUUCCACCAGGGUAACCUUCAGCAGUGGAGGUUCACUGGAGCUUACAAAUGUCUCUCCUCUGUGAGGACAGCCCUUUGAAUGUUUGAUCUCAAAUCAGGUAGGACUACCCGCUGAACUUAAGAAUAUCAAUAAGCGGAGGA